CCAGUGCGCUGGCGGGCCCCCUGCUUAAGUGCGGCCGACCGCGAGUGCGAUGGGACAUGCUUCGUUCGUGAAAUCCCAAAAUCAUCGGGGCUCCGCACGAUGCGGAGGGCAUAUUCGGUGGGUUGUAUCGCAUAGUCGGGCACGCGGCAACUUGGUGACCCUACGUUAAGUAACAUCAUGUCCUCCUCCUCUCUCUCGCCCGCUCCCCUCGGACGGGCGGGAAGCGAGAGGCGGCCUCUUACGACGACGUCCCGUGCGUCCUCGGCGGCGCUUGCAGUCGCACGUGUGCCURUAUAUACGUGCUGCCUGCUUCGUCCGUCCGUCCGGACCUCGGGAUGGUCGAGUGCUUACGGAUGCGGUGAAAUUGGAUGGGGGUCGGGUGUGCGCACGCUGCUGCCGACCCGACUUAGGGAACGUGUUUGCGCACGCCACGAGCGGGCAAACGGAACGGAAUGGAACGGAAUGAACGACCGCCGACGGGCGGGCGUGCGUCGUCGUCGUCGUCGAGAGAUGAUGGGCUGCGCCGUGCCGCGGGCGUCGUCUCGAAGGGCUUGCUACCUGGUUGAUC
rnacentral:misc_RNA from 1 species